AUGGAGAGAAUAGUAAACAAAAAGGUGACAAUGGCUAAGGCCAACGUGAUGUUAAUGAAGGAGCGAUUGAAGAAGAUGGCUGAACAAGAAAAGAUGGUGCCAAAGGAUAUGAUAGUCUUCAUGGAGCAGAAUUGCCCUCAGCUGAUGAUUUGUGUGUCGUGCGUGUUCUCGUCCUUACCAGCACCUGGUAUGGAAGGAGGGGAUGAGAUUGCCAAUGUCGAAAUUAUGGUCAGAGAGGGGCCAUGUCCCCAUGCCGUGGAAGCUAGUGAACGGGAUGGCAGAGGCAAUGAGUUAAAUCAUACUGUAUCUGGUCCGGGCGAGCAGACCGAUGGCUCAUACAGAGAGAGUAGUUACUUUGGUGAAUAUAAUGCGAACAUCUCCAACAAAGAAGCAAAUAGGAUGCUGGUGAGUGCGAACAUGGAGGCUUCAGCUGAAGGGGGGAAAGGCAUUGAUGCUAAGGCACCAGCACGGCCAACCUGCUCUAUCUGCAUGGAACCGUGGACCUCCACAGACGAGCAUCACAUCUGUUGUAUUCCUUGUGGGCAUGUCUACGGCUGGUCGUGCCUAAUAAGGUGGCUCAGGGAUCAGCUUUCAAGGAAUGAGAAUCUCAAGGAAGUGCAUGAGUAUUAUGAAGCUAAGUUGGCUGAGUUUGAGGCAUCGAGGGAAGAAUGUAUGCUAUUUGCAAAAUAUCAUUCUCAGUAUGAUCUGCUAAGUGCACAAGCGAAGUUUCGGGAUGAGCUGCGUGCACUAAUUAGCCCUGAAAUUUCUGAGGUUGAAAGAGUGAUGAUGGAACACGUGGCAAAGGCUAACGGUAGCUUGGUGUUGAUGAAGGAGCAGAUGAAGAAGAUGGCUGAAGAAGACACGGACUCUGGUUUGACCUCAUCAUUUGUCAAGAACAUGGCAGCUGGCGCUAGGGUCAGCAAGUCUUCCUGUGUGGAGAUGUCGUGUGAACACUAA
rnacentral:rRNA from 1 species